AUGAACGCUAGCGACAGGCUUAACACAUGCAAGUCGAGGGGCAGCGGGGGUAGCAAUACCCGCCGGCGACCGGCGCACGGGUGAGUAACGCGUAUGCAACUUACCUAUCAGAGGGGGAUAACCCGGCGAAAGUCGGACUAAUACCGCAUGAAGCAGGGGCCCCGCAUGGGGAUAUUUGCUAAAGAUUCAUCGCUGAUAGAUAGGCAUGCGUUCCAUUAGGCAGUUGGCGGGGUAACGGCCCACCAAACCGACGAUGGAUAGGGGUUCUGAGAGGAAGGUCCCCCACAUUGGUACUGAGACACGGACCAAACUCCUACGGGAGGCAGCAGUGAGGAAUAUUGGUCAAUGGCCGAGAGGCUGAACCAGCCAAGUCGCGUGAGGGAUGAAGGUUCUAUGGAUCGUAAACCUCUUUUAUAAGGGAAUAAAGUGCGGGACGUGUCCCGUUUUGUAUGUACCUUAUGAAUAAGGAUCGGCUAACUCCGUGCCAGCAGCCGCGGUAAUACGGAGGAUCCGAGCGUUAUCCGGAUUUAUUGGGUUUAAAGGGUGCGUAGGCGGCCUUUUAAGUCAGCGGUGAAAGUCUGUGGCUCAACCAUAGAAUUGCCGUUGAAACUGGGGGGCUUGAGUAUGUUUGAGGCAGGCGGAAUGCGUGGUGUAGCGGUGAAAUGCAUAGAUAUCACGCAGAACCCCGAUUGCGAAGGCAGCCUGCCAAGCCAUUACUGACGCUGAUGCACGAAAGCGUGGGGAUCAAACAGGAUUAGAUACCCUGGUAGUCCACGCAGUAAACGAUGAUCACUAGCUGUUUGCGAUACACUGUAAGCGGCACAGCGAAAGCGUUAAGUGAUCCACCUGGGGAGUACGCCGGCAACGGUGAAACUCAAAGGAAUUGACGGGGGCCCGCACAAGCGGAGGAACAUGUGGUUUAAUUCGAUGAUACGCGAGGAACCUUACCCGGGUUUGAACGCAUUCGGACCGAGGUGGAAACACCUUUUCUAGCAAUAGCCGUUUGCGAGGUGCUGCAUGGUUGUCGUCAGCUCGUGCCGUGAGGUGUCGGCUUAAGUGCCAUAACGAGCGCAACCCUUGCCACUAGUUACUAACAGGUUAGGCUGAGGACUCUGGUGGGACUGCCAGCGUAAGCUGCGAGGAAGGCGGGGAUGACGUCAAAUCAGCACGGCCCUUACAUCCGGGGCGACACACGUGUUACAAUGGCGUGGACAAAGGGAUGCCACCUGGCGACAGGGAGCGAAUCCCCAAACCACGUCUCAGUUCGGAUCGGAGUCUGCAACCCGACUCCGUGAAGCUGGAUUCGCUAGUAAUCGCGCAUCAGCCAUGGCGCGGUGAAUACGUUCCCGGGCCUUGUACACACCGCCCGUCAAGCCAUGGGAGCCGGGGGUACCUGAAGUCCGUAACCGAAAGGAUCGGCCUAGGGUAAAACUGGUGACUGGGGCU
rnacentral:rRNA from 1 species